UGCAGGAUCUGGCUGGCCACUACAGGCACCAGCAUGAGCAAGCUCUUUGCGGGGCCUGUGACCAGACCAGGCAUGAGCAAACGACUGCAGGAUCUAGCUGGCUGCUCUGGGCAGCUGCAGGAGCAAGCUCCAUUUGGGGUCUGCGGUGCUGCCCAAGUGGGGGUGCCUGUGAUCCCAAAUCCCCAGAGGGAGUGUUACAGUGCUCUCUUAGCGCCACUGUUUGAGGAUGGCUGUGUGUUAACAGCUCAGCUGGCCCCUAGCCCCAUUGCGUGGGCUCCUUCAGGUCUGUCGGACUUGUAUCCACCCCAUCUCUCUGCCCCCUCUCCUGCCUCUCCUUUCCAGAAGGUUCUAGGUCCCAGGAACUCCAAGGCUCAACCCAAGGAUAGAGAUCCAAGGUCCUGCCGGGGCAGUCAGGAGGCCUUACGGCAUGCCCUCUCCUGUGGCUUCCUUCUCAGCGGACUUUGGAAACCAGUUGGACCAGCCCCUCAUGAUUUCGAUGUAAAAUGUGAGGCUCAGAGAGGACUCAAGCUCACACAGCCCUUCACUGUGGCCUGCAAAAUAGAUCCAGGUCUCUACAAGUCUGGUCUUGGGUUUCCACCACAGCUGUUUACAGGAUGUGUGUAUCUGAGUACAUAUGCAUACCCUUGGCAAGCACAGGCUGAGUGUCUCCAGUGUCCUAGGGACAGCAACAGGUGCAAAAGAAUAACACCCAG
rnacentral:lncRNA from 1 species